AGGAUGUCGAAAACAAUUCAGAAUGAUUUGAUAGCUUCAUCGCAUCAUCCAUAAACAUUUCGAUUAAAGAGAGAGGUUGACACAGCGCAUUUUUUUCGCGUGCGCUCAAGGAAGUCCCCUCCUUGUUCCCUGAUUAAGAGGUGAUGAUCACUCCACUACCAUUGUCAACUAUCUCCUGACAUGAACUGAAUCCAUGUCUCAUGUUCCCGCUCAUCCACUGGCACAUUGAAUGUUUCCUCUCCAAGCUCUGCAAAUCCUGUCCUGCACUGGUCAAGCCUCUGAACACCUCAACUCACGCCUCAUACCCUCAUUCAAUCACUGCUGUGGUCCCUUUCCAACACUUGGCUUGCAUCCAUUACACCGGUAAACACUGCACCUGGAUUUGCCGGAAGCCAUCUCGUACUCUGAUGUAAAAGUCUGUUUGGUCGACCAGAUACACCAACGUCCCCUCUGCCUGUCGUCUGGCUGUGGCUGUCAUCGUGUCAUA